rnacentral:tRNA from 1 species
GGCGGAUGUAGCCAAGUGGAUCAAGGCAGUGGAUUGUGAAUCCGACAUGUGUAGGUUCAAUUCUCAUUGUUCGCC